GCAUAUCAAUAAGCGGAGGAAAAGAAACCAACAGGGAUUGCCCUAGUAACGGCGAGUGAAGCGGCAACAGCUCAAAUUUGAAAUCUGGCGUCUUUGGCGUCCGAGUUGUAAUUUGCAGAGGGCGCUUUGGCAUUGGCAGCGGUCCAAGUUCCUUGGAACAGGACGUCACAGAGGGUGAGAAUCCCGUACGUGGUCGCUAGCCUUUACCGUGUAAAGCCCCUUCGACGAGUCGAGUUGUUUGGGAAUGCAGCUCUAAAUGGGAGGUAAAUUUCUUCUAAAGCUAAAUACUGGCCAGAGACCGAUAGCGCACAAGUAGAGUGAUCGAAAGAUGAAAAGCACUUUGGAAAGAGAGUUAAAAAGCACGUGAAAUUGUUGAAAGGGAAGCGCUUGCAGCCAGACUUGCUUGUAGUUGCUCAUCCGGGUUUUUACCCGGUGCACUCUUCUACAGGCAGGCCAGCAUCAGUUUGGGCGGUUGGAUAAAGGUCUCUGUCAUGUACCUCUCUUCGGGGAGAACUUAUAGGGGAGACGACAUGCAACCAGCCUGGACUGAGGUCCGCGCAUCUGCUAGGAU
rnacentral:rRNA from 1 species